UGCUUGGGAAUAUGCCUUAUGGUGGGGGACAACAGUUGGAAACGACUGCUAAUACCGCAUAAUGUCUCCGGACCAAACAGGGCUUAGGCUCUGGCGCAAAGAGAGGCCCAAGUGAGAUUAGCUAGUUGGUGAGGUAAAGGCUCACCAAGGCAACGAUCUCUAGCUGUUCUGAGAGGAAGAUCAGCCACACUGGAACUGAGACACGGUCCAGACUCCUACGGGAGGCAGCAGUGGGGAAUAUUGCACAAUGGGGGAAACCCUGAUGCAGCCAUGCCGCGUGUGUGAAGAAGGCCUGGUUGU
rnacentral:rRNA from 1 species